AGCGGCUUAGGAUAAAAUAAACCAAGAGCCUUCAAAGCUCUAAACGGAGGUGAGAACCCACCAGCCCCUG
rnacentral:tRNA from 1 species